GGGGGGUGAGAAAGAGAGAGAAAUAAGGGGGGGUGAGAGAGAGAAAAGGGGGGGUGGGUGAGAGAGAAAGGAGGGGGGGUGAGAAAGAAAUUGGGAGGAGGAGAAGGAAAUUGGAGCAGGAGGAGAGAUUGACAUUCAUCACAUACACACAAUGCACCCCUUGCACACAGAAAAACACACAAACACACAUACACAAGCAAUGCAACCGUUACACACAAUGCAUCCCUUACACGCACAGAAACACACAAUGCAUUCAUUACACACACUCAAUGCACCCCUUACACACAUUCAAUGCAUCCCAUACAUACACAGAAACACACCUUGCAGUCCUUACACAUACAAACACAAUUUCACACAAUGCAUUCCUUACACACAUAUCAGGACAUCCCCUACACACUCCACCCCCUGUGAACAAACUCAUUGGUGGAACAUGAAGGUGGACCCUGGGACCCAGACCUUGAGCUGUGUAAAGGACCCC